CCUACGGGAGGCAGCAGUGGGGGAUAUUGGACAAUGGGCGCAACCCUGAUGCAGCGACGCCGCGUGGGGGAAGGAGGGUUUCGGGGCGUAAAGCUCUAUCGGCAGGGAAGAAGGAGGACGGUACCUGACUAAGAUGCCCCGGCUAACUACGUGCCAGCAGCCGCGGUAAUACGCAGGGGGCAAGCGUUAUCCGGAUUUACUGGGGGUAAAGGGGGCGCAGACGGGAGCGCAAGCCAGUAGUGAAAGCCCGGGGCGCAACCCCGGGACUGCUCUUGGAACUGCGCGGCUGGAGUGCAGGAGGGGCAGGCGGAAUUCCUGGUGUAGCGGUGAAAUGUGUAGAUAUCAGGAGGAACACCGGUGGCGAAGGCGGCCUGCUGGACUGCGACUGACGUUGAGGCCCGAAAGCGUGGGGAGCAAACAGGAUUAGAUACCCGUGUAGUC
rnacentral:rRNA from 1 species